CUUUCCACUCAUAAGGUCAGAAGCUGCUGUUAUCAACACAGGUGUGAAUGAGAUCUAAAGAUCCAGCUGAGGAAUCAACCUUCCAUGUCAGUUUCAGACUGCAUAGUUGGUCCAACAGAGGAAAUAUGAAUAGCUCAGUGUUUCCAAGCCUCGGGUUUCUUUAUUUUUCAUUACUCAUCUUCACAAAUGAAUAGAAUCUUGGAAUCGCUGGAGGGCAGGGCGGUGCCCCCCUGUCAACAAGCUUGGCCCCCCUAAAUUUGGAAUUAUAUCACACCAAACAAUUUUGGGUGAAAUGCGCAGUUUUGCAGCGAACUAUAUCAAAAGAAAAACAGCUGUUGAAUUCAAUCUGCGUUCGCUGGCUGGCACAGAGCCAGAGACACACACGCUUUAAAAGCGCUGCGCAUUAUACCCAAUCACAUACGUCUCUGUUGAGUUUAUGAAUGCAAGGACCAAUCAGAAGCGUUCAGAUGAGUCAUCGCCGAAGCGCCGCUAUUUCGUCACCGCGCGCGCUCGCGGACUGAAUUCUCUCCUCAGAAAUAACAAAGUGAAGAUGUAGGAAUGUGUGUUUGGUGUUGAGACAGAAGAUGUGUCUGUGACGCAGGGAGAUUCUGUCACACUACACACAGGUGUUGAAAAACAGAAAGAUGAUCUGAUAGUAUGGUAUUAUGGACCUGAAAAAACUCUAGUUGUCCAAAUCAAUGGAAAGGCCAGUAGCACCAUAAUAGCUGAUAGGGUUGUUGGCAGAGUGCAGGUGGACAGUCAGACUGGAUCUCUCACCUUCACAAACAUCAGAACCACAGACUCUGGACUUUAUAAUCUUAAAAUCAGCAGCAGCAAUAAGGUUUCAUACAAGAGAUUCAGUGUUUCGGUCUAUGAUCAUCUUCCUGUUCCUGUCAUCAUCAGAGACACUUCACAAUGUUCUUCAUCAUCUGAGAGUUCAUCAGUGUCUAAAUGUUCACUGCUGUGUUCAGUGCUGAAUGUGAGUCAUGUGACUCUCUCCUGGUUCAAAGGAAACAGUUUAAUCUCCAGCAUCAGUGCGUCUGAUCUCAGCAUCAGUCUCUCUCUAUCUCUGGAGGUGGAACAUCAGGAUAAAAACACCUACAGCUGUGUGUUAAACAACAACAUCAGCAGCCAGACAACACAUCUGGACAUCAGUCAACUCUGUCAGCCGUGUGCAGAUUUUCCAGUAUUUUUGAUUCCAGUGCUGCUCUCUGUAGUAAUAGUACUAGUGAUUGUAGCUGUGAUAUGCUUCAGGAAAAAGAGAGGAGGAUAUCAAAAAGCCAACUUGAUGCAAGUUGGAUGCAAUGAAACCAGCAUAGGAGCGCUGACCGUCAAAGAAAGCAAACAUAAAAUCCAGGAACAAGUUUGAAGAUGCAAACACAGGGAUUCAUGGAUUCUAGCUAUGAUUGUUUUUUCUUUCCUCUCUUCAUUGAUCGCACUUAUCUCCAGCAGCCUGAAUCAUUUACAUUUUUCUAAUCUCUGAAAUGUUCUAAUAUGUAGUUCAUUUCCCCAUUACGUAAAACAGAAUCUAAAGGGAUGGUUCACUCAGAAAUGAAAAUUCUGUGAUCAUUACUCACCCUCAUGUCAUCCCAUACCUGUAUGAGUUUCUCUCUUCUGUUGAACACAAAAUGAGUAUAUACAGUGGAAGUCAAUGGGAACCAAAACGGUUUGGUUACCGAUAUUCUUCAAAAUAUCUUCUUUUAUGUUUAAUAGAAGACUGAAAGUCAUACAGGUUUAAAAUGACAUGAGGAUGAGUAAAUUAUGACAGAAAUGAAAUUUUUUGGCUGAAGUAAGCUUUAACCUUUUAGGCUUUAAUCUGAAUGGUUAUAAAAAGAAAGUCGCAAUAAGUUAGGAACAAUGAAAAAAGAGGAAAUUUUAUUACCAAAAGCAAACAAUUAUAGCUAGACUUAGCUAAGCCUGUCUGCUAAAGUGGUGCAGGGACUACACAAUUUAGGUGAACCCUAAAAUAAGCUGUGUAUUAAGAGGUAAAUCCCAUCGAUUCCUGGGGCUUUCUUGUUUGCCAGGUGUUUCUUAGCCCAUGCUUGUUCCAAAAUAAUGUGUAAACCAAGCCAUAUAGUCGAUUCUUCAACUAUAUGCCGGUCCCAAGCCCGGAUAAAUGGUGAGGGACUGCAACGGUGAACGACCCUGUAAAACAUUUUUUAGCCAAAAACUUAAUAUAAAAUAAUAAUACAGAUGGUAAAAAAGACACAUGGUGAAGUUCAUCAAAAGUAUCCAUAAGUGAAAAAAGGAUAACUUGUUUCAGGGUUUUAGGUGUCAUUCCUACACCACUAUAAACAUUGCAGGCUCUGAGCAGCAAAAUCUUCAGCCAAAAUUAGACAAAACUAAUUGGAUACUAAAUUGCUGGCUGCUGAUAGUGAACAACAAUGUAUGGGAGAGUCCUAUUUGUCAGUCCUCUGUCAUGUGUGUCUUGUGUCCCUGCCUCUUGUGUCCUUAUUUGGUCUUGUUCCUGUCCUUGUUCAGUGUGAUUAUUAGUUAAGUCUUGUCCAGCCGUGUUUGAUUAUGUCUAUCAUUAUCUUGUGUAUUUAAGUUCCUGCCUGUUCAGUUAGUGUUCGUUUGGUCUACUCGUAACUCCCUGGUGUUUCUGUCUGUGUGUCAGCCUUGCCUUGUCAUGCCCUGAUGUCAUCAUUGAAGACUAUUGCCGCGUCCCAAUGUGCCUACUUGUACUACGCCCUUAAAGUAUGUCUUUUGAGUGUGUAGUAGAAGAGUAGGCAAGCUUUGGGACAUACUAUCACGUUACACAACUGCGUCUUUAAUGGACCGCUCUGUCACAUCUACACGCACCCUGUCACUGUAAACUGGCCUGUCAAUCAUCUUGUCACAGUUAACAUCCUCCACAUUUCAUUUAACUUCCUACCGUAUUGGAGAAAAAAGAACAAUUUUUAACGCGUUUUAUUCGUGUUUGUAGUUCUGGACCGAAUCCUUCGCCAAAGCGCAAUGGAUUGUGGGCAAUUUUUGCCAUUAGAGUGUGCACGGAUCCACACUUCAAAAAUCAACCUGAAAUAGUAGACCAUCCGGGGACUUUUGGCGUACUCUUUUCAACAUACUAUGCUUUGGGGCACACUUAUUGUAAUCUCACAUACUAUUUAGGAUGGAUAGUAUGAACAUUGGGACGCAGGGUAUUAUUUUGAGUUAUAUCCUCGUCUGAGUGUUCCUCGUUCCUCCCUGCUGUGUGCACUUUGACACUAUUGAGUCAAGCUGGGAGAGCUGAGUUUUAUCAUUUUAAGUAAAUUAUCUAUCAAACUGCCAUUUUCAUAAGCUCCUGCAUCCUUUAAGACUGUAUUUAAAUAUAAUUCCCCAUCCCACACAUGAAAAAAUGAAAACAAAACAAAAAAAAAUUGAGUCAACAGAUCACUUUAUUUGUUGGUGUGUUUGGCAAAAAAAAGUAUUUUUUAUUUCUGAACUCCUCAGUAAUCAAGGGGAAUUUUCUAAUUUGCUGAUUUUAUUACUUUGAAGAGUGAUGUAGUUACAUUUUUUAUAUGAGGAUUUGAUGAAUGUCUCCUUACACAUUGUCAUUUCACAGCAUGUUGUUUCAGACAAGUGGAAAGAAAACAACCAAAAUACACUUUUAAGUAUUUAUUUUAUUGCACUUUAUAUAAUUGUAUGUGUAGAUUUCAAUUACAACACAUUUCUUUAAAUGUUUUUCUCAAAAUGAUUUUUUUCUCCCUCGUGCACUGACCCAGAAAUGUCCACUUUGGUAGCACUUCCAUACAUCAAACUUUUAAAAGGUUUUUACAGAAGGGUUUGUUUUAGAUUAUGAUUUAUAGUCACAUUAUUAUAUUUAUUACUUGCCACAAUAUUUUCAAAUUUUUGCAAUAAGAAGUGAUAUCUAAAAUCUCCUAUGUAAAAACCUGUAACUCUAAUAUGUCAACAAAAUCUGCUGUCUUCAUCCAAUGAUUAGAUUUAUGUUCUGGAAAUGUAUACAAUUUAGUGCAUAUUUAAUUAGAUAAUGCUUCAUUUGCAUAUUUAAACAUUACAUUUUAAAAACUUUUAAUACAAAAAAUGUUUGUAAUUCUUAGUGUUAUCAAUCAAUUGAGGAAGUGGUGAUAUUUGUUACAUUUUUACCUUAUUUGCUUGAGGUGUCUUGCCUUAAAAUUUAUAUAACUACGGCCAGUGUUGUGCCCCCUUAUAGAUUUUAACUAAUUUAACAUACAUUGAAAAUAAUUUAAUUACAUUCAAAGUAUGUUCAAAUAAUUGUAUUUUAUCAUGUAUUUUAACUAAAUAAAAAUGACAAAAUACA